rfam:Picea glauca, whole genome shotgun sequence.
ACUAUGACUGUCUUAAGGUAUCCAUAUUCCUUGUCAUCUAAUUAGUGACAUGCAUGAAUGGAUCAUUAACAAUAUUCCCCACUAUCCCUAGCAAUUAUAUUCUAGAGAAACCACAUCCAAGGGAAUGGGCUUGGUAGGAUUAGUGAGGAAAGAAGACCCUCAUGUUGAGCUUGACUCUAUUCCUAACCCAUUCAUUGU